UCUAAGGAGUUAGGGAAGUGAGGGCUCAC
rnacentral:piRNA from 1 species